rnacentral:rRNA from 1 species
CCUACGGGUGGCAGCAGUGGGGAAUAUUGGUCAAUGGAGGAAACUCUGACCCAGCAAUGCCGCGUGGGUGAAGAAGGUUUUCGAAUUGUAAAGCUCUUUCGGAUGUGAAGAUAAUGACGGUAACAUCUAAAGAAGCACCGGCCAACUUCGUGCCAGCAGCCGCGGUAAUACGAAGGGGGCAAGCGUUGUUCGGAAUUACUGGGCGUAAAGGGUGUGUAGGCGGGAAAGUAAGAUAGUGGUGAAAUGCCUGAGCUAAACUUGGGAACUGCAAUUAUAACUAUUUUUCUAGAGUGACAGAGAGGAUAGUGGAAUACCUAGUGUAGAGGUGAAAUUCGUAGAUAUGGGGUAGAAAACCGGAGGCGAAGGCGAGCAGCUGGCUGUCAACUGACGCUGAGGCACGAAAGCAUGGGGAUCAAACAGGAUUAGAUACCCCAGUAGUC